CAGUCGCCACGGGAAUACAGAGGGUGCAAGCGUUAAUCGGAAUUACUGGGCGUAAAGCGCGCGUAGGUGGUUUGUUAAGUUGGAUGUGAAAUCCCCGGGCUCAACCUGGGAACUGCAUCCAAAACUGGCAAGCUAGAGUAUGGUAGAGGGUGGUGGAAUUUCCUGUGUAGCGGUGAAAUGCGUAGAUAUAGGAAGGAACACCAGUGGCGAAGGCGACCACCUGGACUGAUACUGACACUGAGGUGCGAAAGCGUGGGGAGCAAACAGGAUUAGAUACCCGGGUAGUCCCUGUCUCUUAUAA
rnacentral:rRNA from 1 species